AGUGACAACAGAUAUAACAAUUCCAGACACAGGCAUCGAUUCUGCUCUACUUCUAGUCACAGAUACGUCAGCCACAGAGACAGACACUGAUUCUGGUCAGCGAGAUCCUCUGGAGAUUCCCUGGAUCCGCAUCGGUCUCAUCAGCGGAGUUCUGCUCGUUACUGCCGUCGUUCUGGGUUUAUUGCUGGUAUUUGGAAGAAUCUGAGUCGUCGAGAGAAAACCAUUGAAAGGAUUCAAGUGUCAGACAUUUCCAGGCAAACAGCUGAUUUUGUGAGCUGUGAAA